AUCGAACGCUGGCGGCAGGCCUAACACAUGCAAGUCGAGCGGAUGAAGGGUGCUUGCUCCUGGUUUCAGCGGCGGACGGGUGAGUAAUGCCUAUGAAUCUGCUUGCCUUUAGGGGAUAACGUCCGCAAACAGCCGCUACUACUGCCUACGUCCUGCGGGUGCUGGAGGGGGAUCGUCGGACCUUACCCUAGCAGGUGGGCCUAGGUCGGAUUAGCUAGUUGGUGGGGUAAGGGCCUACCAAGGCGACCAUCCGUAACUGGUCUGAGAGGAUGAUCAGUCACACUGGAACUGAGACGCGGUCCAUGCGACUACGGGAGGGAGCAGUGGGGAAAGGUGGACAAUGGGCGAGAGACUGAUCCAACGGGGCGGCGUGUGUGAAGAAGGUCUUCGGAUUGUAAAGAACGUUAAGUGGGGAGAAAGGGCAGUAAGUUGAUACCAAGCUGUAUUGACGUUACCAGCAAAAUAAGCACCGGCUAACUACGUG
rnacentral:rRNA from 1 species